GGGUUGUGAGGUUAAGCGAACAAGCGUACACGGUGGAUGCCCUGGCAGUCAGAGGCGAUGAAGGACGUGCUAAUCUGCGAAAAGCGCCGGUAAGGUGAUAUGAACCGUUAUAACCGGCGAUGUCCGAAUGGGGAAACCCGGUGCACUUCGGUGCAUCAUCGUUAGCUGAAUACAUAGGCUAACGAAGCGAACCGGGGGAACUGAAACAUCUAAGUACCCCGAGGAAAAGAAAUCAACCGAGAUUCCCCCAGUAGCGGCGAGCGAACGGGGAACAGCCCAGAGCCUGAAUCAGCUUGUGUGUCAGUGGAACGGUCUGGAAAGGCCGGCGAUACAGGGUGACAGCCCCGUACACGAAGGCACACAGGCUGUGAGCUCGAUGAGUAGGGCGGGACACGUGAUAUCCUGUCUGAAGAUGGGGGGACCAUCCUCCAAGGCUAAAUACUCCUGACUGACCGAUAGUGAACCAGUACCGUGAGGGAAAGGCGAAAAGAACCCCGGCGAGGGGAGUGAAACAGAACCUGAAACCGUGUACGUACAAGCAGUGGGAGCCUUCGUAAGAGGGUGACUGCGUACCUUUUGUAUAAUGGGUCAGCGACUUAUAUUCUGUAGCAAGGUUAACCGUAUAGGGGAGCCGAAGGGAAACCGAGUCUUAAUUGGGCGUUAAGUUGCAGGGUAUAGACCCGAAACCCGGUGAUCUAGCCAUGGGCAGGUUGAAGGUUGGGUAACACUAACUGGAGGACCGAACCGACUAAUGUUGAAAAAUUAGCGGAUGACCUGUGGCUGGGGGUGAAAGGCCAAUCAAACCGGGAGAUAGCUGGUUCUCCCCGAAAGCUAUUUAGGUAGCGCCUCGUGAACUCAUCUCCGGGGGUAGAGCACUGUUUCGGCUAGGGGGCCAUCCCGGCUUACCAACCCGAUGCAAACUGCGAAUACCGGAGAAUGUUAUCACGGGAGACACACGGCGGGUGCUAACGUCCGUCGUGAAGAGGGAAACAACCCAGACCGCCAGCUAAGGUCCCAAAGUCAUGGUUAAGUGGGAAACGAUGUGGGAAGGCCCAGACAGCCAGGAUGUUGGCUUAGAAGCAGCCAUCAUUUAAAGAAAGCGUAAUAGCUCACUGGUCGAGUCGGCCUGCGCGGAAGAUGUAACGGGGCUAAACCAUGCACCGAAGCUGCGGCAGCGACACUAUGUGUUGUUGGGUAGGGGAGCGUUCUGUAAGCCUGCGAAGGUGUGCUGUGAGGCAUGCUGGAGGUAUCAGAAGUGCGAAUGCUGACAUAAGUAACGAUAAAGCGGGUGAAAAGCCCGCUCGCCGGAAGACCAAGGGUUCCUGUCCAACGUUAAUCGGGGCAGGGUGAGUCGACCCCUAAGGCGAGGCCGAAAGGCGUAGUCGAUGGGAAACAGGUUAAUAUUCCUGUACUUGGUGUUACUGCGAAGGGGGGACGGAGAAGGCUAUGUCAGCCGGGCGACGGUCGUCCCGGUUUAAGCGUGUAGGCUGACUUUCCAGGCAAAUCCGGAAGGUUAAGGCUGAGGCGUGAUGACGAGGCACCACGGUGCUGAAGUGACAAAUGCCCUGCUUCCAGGAAAAGCCUCUAAGCAUCAGGUAACAUCAAAUCGUACCCCAAACCGACACAGGUGGUCAGGUAGAGAAUACCAAGGCGCUUGAGAGAACUCGGGUGAAGGAACUAGGCAAAAUGGUGCCGUAACUUCGGGAGAAGGCACGCUGACAUGUAGGUGAAGCCCCUGCGGGUGGAGCUGAAGUCAGUCGAAGAUACCAGCUGGCUGCAACUGUUUAUUAAAAACACAGCACUGUGCAAACACGAAAGUGGACGUAUACGGUGUGACGCCUGCCCGGUGCCGGAAGGUUAAUUGAUGGGGUUAUCGCAAGAGAAGCUCCUGAUCGAAGCCCCGGUAAACGGCGGCCGUAACUAUAACGGUCCUAAGGUAGCGAAAUUCCUUGUCGGGUAAGUUCCGACCUGCACGAAUGGCGUAAUGAUGGCCAGGCUGUCUCCACCCGAGACUCAGUGAAAUUGAACUCGCUGUGAAGAUGCAGUGUACCCGCGGCAAGACGGAAAGACCCCGUGAACCUUUACUACAGCUUGACACUGAACAUUGAGCCUUGAUGUGUAGGAUAGGUGGGAGGCUUUGAAGCGUGGACGCCAGUCUGCGUGGAGCCAACCUUGAAAUACCACCCUUUAAUGUUUGAUGUUCUAACCUGGCGCCGUGAUCCGGCGUGGGGACAGUGUCUGGUGGGUAGUUUGACUGGGGCGGUCUCCUCCCAAAGUGUAACGGAGGAGCACGAAGGUCAGCUAAUCCUGGUCGGACAUCAGGAGGUUAGUGCAAUGGCAUAAGCUGGCUUGACUGCGAGAGUGACGGCUCGAGCAGGUGCGAAAGCAGGUCAUAGUGAUCCGGUGGUUCUGUAUGGAAGGGCCAUCGCUCAACGGAUAAAAGGUACUCCGGGGAUAACAGGCUGAUACCGCCCAAGAGUUCAUAUCGACGGCGGUGUUUGGCACCUCGAUGUCGGCUCAUCACAUCCUGGGGCUGAAGUAGGUCCCAAGGGUAUGGCUGUUCGCCAUUUAAAGUGGUACGCGAGCUGGGUUUAGAACGUCGUGAGACAGUUCGGUCCCUAUCUGCCGUGGGCGCUGGAGAAUUGAGGGGGGCUGCUCCCAGUACGAGAGGACCGGAGUGGACGCAUCACUGGUGUUCGGGUUGUCAUGCCAAUGGCACUGCCCGGUAGCUAAAUGCGGAAGAGAUAAGUGCUGAAAGCAUCUAAGCACGAAACUUGCCCCGAGAUGAGUUCUCCCUGAGACUGUAAGUCUCCUGAAGGAACGUUGAAGACGACGACGUUGAUAGGCCGGGUGUGUAAGCGCAGCGAUGCGUUGAGCUAACCGGUACUAAUGAACCGUGAGGCUUAACCUUACAACGCCAAAGAAGU
rnacentral:rRNA from 1 species